AUGAAGAAACAAACUCCUCUACAUCUUGGAUGGCCUGAGGGAAAUGUGAACCUGCGACCUCCAGGUGUCAAGCAUGCGAGUCAGUGGAAUAAAGAGCGGCUUUCAGCCUGUUCGUUAGUGGAAUUGCCAUUUGAUAUCCAAGUGUCUACCACAACAUCCUACAGUAACUGACAAACAACUUCUUUACACACCACUUUUCUCUCUCUUAAAAUCUGCUCCUAUUCAAGUCCAAGUAUUAUUCUAACAGACUUCACUUUGUUCCAAUCAAGAUUUGAUGAACAUUAGAGAUAACAACAGACUUUGUGCAGCAAUUGUUAUACAUCGAUAGAACAAUAUUGUUGAUUUAAAAUGUAUCAUUUAUACUUCCUGAUGUUAUUGCUAACCAGCAGGCUCUUAGCUAACAAGUUAACAAGUAGCUCAUUAGGAGCCAAAAUAGGUUUUUUUUUUUUUUUUUUUUUAAAUUUAUUUAGCAUUCAUUAUUGUACUGUAAAAAUAUCCUGGUAAAUUUGAGACUGCUGUGCUAGAAAUUCACUAUAAAAUUAUGGUAACAAUGUUUCAGGUAUUAUGGGAUGGCAUAUUGGUGCCUUAUUUAAUCAAACUUAGCCUAUUUCAUCAAGUUAUAAUGACAAAAUGUUAAUACCUAUUGACUUGAACUACUGUACCUUUAAAAAAUAUAUAUUUUUUUUAAUUUAUUUUUUUAUUAAAAUUACAUAGUUUCCUGAAACUGUACUAAAGAAAAGGGUAUUUCUGAGGUGACCUGGGUGAGAUCUAAAGGUAAAUUAACUUUGAAUAGUUAAACACAUGGGUUGAGGUAUGGAAUGGUGCAAAUAACCCUUCAUGGAAAUUAUUUGGGCCAUAUGUGUUAUGUAGAUAUGAACUUACUCACCCUUUGAAAGUCAUGUCUGGAGGAUACACUCAGUGCCCUCAAUGACCUGCACUUGUAGAGAUUCUUGAUUGUGUUGCUUCCUUUAAACUAACUUGCAACUGUAACAGAUACAUUAGAUAAUGGACUUUAACAUUUUAACAUAUUAACCUUUAAUUCUUCUCCAUGACUUAGCUAGUUUAUGAACAAGGCUAAUUUUAAUUUAUGUUAGAGAAGUCUGUUUUAAUCUCGACCAUCAUAAAUAGAAAGAAUGUUUUAAUCCAAAGCAUUACUAGAACUAGUUAAUGCUGCAGAAUUUAUGUUGUAAGUGUAAUAAUGUUAAAAUGUUAAUUGCAUUAAUGUUAAAAUAUGCUUGUAGUUGAAAAUGUUGUGAUAUAUUGAGUUUCUUGAUAUGGCAACAUCUGUCUACAAUCACUAACAAUCAUUACUUAUUUAUUAAAGGAAUAGUUCACCCAGAAAUGAACAUUUGCUGAAAAUGUACUCUUUUUCAGGCCAUGUGAGAUGAGCUUAGUUUUCUGGUCAUUUGGAGAAAUUUGGGUGCCAUCAUCAGAAUGAUUUUCCAAACAGCUGAUAAAAACAUCACAAUAAUCCACAUGACUCCAGUCCAUCAAUUAAUUUAUUUUGAAGUGAAAAGCUGCAUGUCUGUAAUAAAAAAUCCACAUUGAAGGCA
ensembl:lncRNA